UACACUCCUACGGGAGGCAGCAGUGGGGAAUAUUGGACAAUGGGCGCAAGCCUGAUCCAGCCAUGCCGCGUGAGUGAUGAAGGCCCUAGGGUUGUAAAGCUCUUUCACCGGUGAAGAUAAUGACGGUAACCGGAGAAGAAGCCCCGGCUAACUUCGUGCCAGCAGCCGCGGUAAUACGAAGGGGGCUAGCGUUGUUCGGAUUUACUGGGCGUAAAGCGCACGUAGGCGGACUAUUAAGUCAGGGGUGAAAUCCCGGGGCUCAACCCCGGAACUGCCUUUGAUACUGGUAGUCUUGAGUUCGAGAGAGGUGAGUGGAAUUCCGAGUGUAGAGGUGAAAUUCGUAGAUAUUCGGAGGAACACCAGUGGCGAAGGCGGCUCACUGGCUCGAUACUGACGCUGAGGUGCGAAAGCGUGGGGAGCAAACAGGAUUAGAAACCCGGGUAGUCCCAU
rnacentral:rRNA from 1 species